rnacentral:rRNA from 1 species
CGUGAGUGAUGAAGGCCUUCGGAUCGUAAAGCUCUUUCCCCAGGGAUGAUAAUGACAGUACCUGGUAAAGAAACCCCGGCUAACUCCGUGCCAGCAGCCGCGGUAAUACGGAGGGGGUUAGCGUUGUUCGGAAUUACUGGGCGUAAAGCGUACGUAGGCGGAUUAUAAAGUUGGAGGUGAAAUCCCAGGGCUCAACCCUGGAACUGCCUCCAAAACUGUUGGUCUAGAGUUCGAGAGAGGUGAGUGGAAUUCCGAGUGUAGAGGUGAAAUUCGUAGAUAUUCGGAGGAACACCAGUGGCGAAGGCGGCUCACUGGCUCGAUACUGACGCUGAGGUACGAAAGUGUGGGGAGCAAACAGGAUUAGAUACCCUGGUAGUCCACACCGUAAACGAUGAAUGCCAGUCGUCAGAAAGCUUGCUCUUUGGUGACACACCUAACGGAUUAAGCAUUCCGCCUGGGGAGUACGGUCGCAAGAUUAAAACUCAAAGGAAUUGACGGA